GACGAACCGAGCGAACGUUGUUCGGAAUCACGUGGCUUAAAGGGCGCGUAGGCGGGCUGCCGCGUCCGGGGAUCGAAAUGCCCACGGCUCAACCGUGGGAACGGCCCGGGUACGGGCGGCCUCGAGGGGGGUAGGGGCGUGCGGAACUGUGGGUGGAGCGGUAGAAAUGCGUUGAGAUCCAACAGGAACUCCGGUGGCGAAGGCGGCACGCUGGACCCCCACUGACGCUGAGGCGCGAAAGCCAGGGAGGCGAACGGG
rnacentral:rRNA from 1 species